rnacentral:rRNA from 1 species
AAGUCGUAACAAGGUUUCCGUAGGUGAACCUGCGGAAGGAUCAUUGUCGAUGCCUUACAUGCAGACCAACUCGUGAACCUGUUUGAAUACAUAGGGAUGGCUCGUGGUGUUUGGCACCGCGGCCUCCCUUUGGCUAGGAGGGACUCGCAGUGCGUCCCCCUCCUGCACGAACAAAAAACCCCGACGCUGAAUGCGUCAAGGAACUAAAACUAGAUCAGUGUGCCCUGUCGGCCCGGAGACGGUGCUUUGGCGGUGGUGCCUUGACACAUGAUACAGAAUGACUCUCGGCAACGGAUAUCUAGGCUCUUGCAUCGAUGAAGAACGUAGCGAAAUGCGAUACUUGGUGUGAAUUGCAGAAUCCCGUGAACCAUCGAGUCUUUGAACGCAAGUUGCGCCCGAUGCCACUAGGUUGAGGGCACGUCUGCCUGGGCGUCACAUAUCGUUGCCCCAUGCCUAUUACAGGGUGAUAGGAAUUUCUAGGGCGAAAGUUGGCUUCCCGUGAGCGUUAUUGCCUUGCGGUUGGUUGAAAAUCGAGUCUUUGGUAGGGGUGUGCCAUGACAGAUGGUGGUCGAGUUUGCGCGAGACCAAUCAUGUGCGGGCUCUGCCAAAUAUGGGCUCUUUGACCCCACACGCGUCUUUUGGCGCUCUUGACGAGACCUCAGGUCAGGCGGGGCUACCCGCUGAGUUUAA